rnacentral:rRNA from 1 species
UACAGAGGUCUCAAGCGUUGUUCGGAUUCAUUGGGCGUAAAGGGUGUGUAGGUGGCGCCGUAAGUCGGGUGUGAAAUUUCGGAGCUUAACUCCGAAACUGCAUUCGAUACUGCGGUGCUUGAGGACUGGAGAGGAGACUGGAAUUUACGGUGUAGCGGUGAAAUGCGUAGAUAUCGUAAGGAAGACCAGUGGCGAAGGCGGGUCUCUGGACAGUUCCUGACGCUGAGGCACGAAGGCUAGGGGAGCAAACAGG